GACGAACGCUGGCGGCGUGCCUAAUACAUGCAAGUUGAGCGAUGAAGAUUGGUGCUUGCACCAAUUUGAAGAGCAGCGAACGGGUGAGUAACGCGUGGGGAAUCUGCCUUUGAGCGGGGGACAACAUUUGGAAACGAAUGCUAAUACCGCAUAACAACUUUAAACAUAAGUUUUAAGUUUGAAAGAUGCAAUUGCAUCACUCAAAGAUGAUCCCGCGUUGUAUUAGCUAGUUGGUGAGGUAAAGGCUCACCAAGGCGAUGAUACAUAGCCGACCUGAGAGGGUGAUCGGCCACAUUGGGACUGAGACACGGCCCAAACUCCUACGGGAGGCAGCAGUAGGGAAUCUUCGGCAAUGGACGAAAGUCUGACCGAGCAACGCCGCGUGAGUGAAGAAGGUUUUCGGAUCGUAAAACUCUGUUGGUAGAGAAGAACGUUGGUGAGAGUGGAAAGCUCAUCAAAUGACGGUAACUACCCAGAAAGGGACGGCUAACUACGUG
rnacentral:rRNA from 1 species